AGCUACAGCUGCCAACCUACACCACAGCCACAGCCACACCAGCUCCAAGCCGCAUCUGCAACCUACACCACAGCUCAUGGCAACGCCAGAUCCUUAACCCACUGAGAAAGGCCAGGGAUGGAACCCGCAACCUCAUGGUUCCUAGUCAGACUGUUUCUGCUGCACCACAACGGGAACUCCAAUACUAAGCUUUUUUCAGCAAAGUGCUGCCUCUUCUCAGACGUCUCGGCAACUCUGCUGUCCCAUCUGCCCCACAUAACUGCCUUUGAACACGCUAUUUCUGCUCACAUGGCUUUAUGAGACCAAUAGUCUAAAAAUACGUCUUUUGGGAAUUCUGAUGCUUUUCCAGGGAUAAUGACUGGCUUUCUGGCCACAGCUGAUGUUCAACAACAGCGUUUACUUGUGUAGAAAAUUUAUGAGCUAAAUGAAUGUAGAAUGAUUUCAUGGACAAAUGUGUAUUUUAUGGCACUCUUUGUAAAUUGCAUUGAGCUAUAAAACAAACACAACAAACACAAUACCAGCACUUCAGAGGUUUUUCCACACAUACGGCAACUGGAAAUAUUUUGACUGGAAUACAGCAUCUUGAAAAUGUAAUUCGUUGAGACAAUCCACCCAAUAAACAACCAGCAGCAUCUUCGCAAUGUCCACACUCCUAUCCUCGGAGUACCACACACUAUGACAAGGAAGCAUGGGGACAGGACCCGAACAAAGAAUAGAGUUAAACAUUUUGUGUUAAUGUGUUCUUAGGGAAAAUGCCCUAGUACAUGAGGAAGAGACAUCACCUAGGUACUGCCCGCAUUCACACUGAAUUGUUACAGCUGAAAAAAUCUGGACACAGCUAUUAGCACAUACUUGGCCAGAAUAAGUCAGAACACAUGUUUUAGCUUCACGGCAACAGGCUGUGAGCGUUUUGUCAUCGGUUCUCUGAAGGCUUCCCGAAAUGUGUCCGUGUUCCAGGUGUCCGUUUGCCUCAGUUAGUACCAAGAUAAAGACCUUUCGAGAUGUAGGCUAACUUCAGAGAACAAACGCGUUUACUGGCUAAAGUGGCAGAGCUCUUGCUGAUGUUCCGGGAAGUUCCGCGUGACCACCUAACGUUAAAAUACCCACUCUGACUUAUGUAACGAAUGGAUCUGUUUAGAAUGUUAUUAUUCCAAAGAGACCAGUGUUCGUAAUGAGUAAUUCAUUCCUGGGAGUUCCCUGUAGUUGUCUAGAGGUUGGGAUGCUGCGCUUUCACCGCUGCUGCCCAGGUUCGGUCCCUGGUCUGGGACUGACAUGGAGCCAGUGCUUGUCAAGCCAAAGCAAGGAAGCAAUCCAUCAUUACUUCAGCAGCGGCAAAUGUCUGCCUUUUGACCAGAAAUGUGUACUCGUCUUAUCCAACAGUGAUAAAAACCACUUAGUGACGGAAACAUUUAUUUAAAGAGUGAUUUGUUUUUUCCCAAGAGCGUGUCCCACAGAAUAUGGGAGGAUGUCAACUGCUUCUUAUGCACAUUAGCCUAUUGCACGGUCUGAGAAAUCUUGCAAUAAAUCAGUUCGAGUUUAACUCAGCACUUCCCAAACUUAUUUGACUGUGGAAUCCUUACAUUCCAUAAAAGAUAUUAACUUCAGGCAAAGAGUACUUUUUGGGGGGUGGGGGCUGCACCCAUGGCAUUUGGAAGUUCCCGGGCCAGAGAUCAAACCCACACCGCAGGUGAGACCCGGUGCCACAGCUGUGACAACACCAGAUCUUUAACCCAUGGGGGACACUGCAUCACACAAAAAGUACUUUAAAAGGCUUGAGACAGAAAAGAUACGGCCAAGUUUUCUUUGUACACUUCAUUUCUAUUUCCUAAAUAAUCUGUUUUCAAAUUUUCCAAAUCUAUAUUUUUUUCCUUUAAGCCCCACUAAGUCUCAUUCUUUGUUUUUUAAUAGAGGCUGUGAUAAACUGGCGACCUCAACCUCAACUUCUGCAUGGUCCCCUCAAUGCAGCAAACACUCACCAAGGCCCUGUGCUUGGCACCGUAAAACUGCCACGUCAAACCUUGGUUUCCACGUCGGCAGACUCAAUAGACCAAAGCCCUAUUUUUUUCCCUAUAUUUUUCAAAAAUAUCUACAAUCAUUUCGAAUUAUAAGAAUGGCCACUAACUACAGCAGGCCAGUGAAUGCAGUGCACUGCAAGAAUCAGGAACCACUCUAAACAUCGAGCCUGGUCAGAUAUUUUGCUGCACAUUCCCUCUGUAAAGUGGGAUUCUUUGAAAAUUUUAUGUGAAAUCACUGUAUCAACCCUCACCCCCGUGGCUCUUUUUUUGUGAAGGCACUCCACUACAGCCAUGUCUCUCUAAGCAAAGUAUUUUAAAUUUCAUAAUUAAAUCAUAAUAAAUACAUUAAGACAGGGCGUUAUAUUUUCAACCUACGGAACAUGUCAGUAAAUAGAAUCGUCUCAUACCCAAUUACUCAAUUCAGAAACAAAACGGUUUCAUUGGGUGCACAGUGAUUGGUGAUUAAAAAUUAGACCCUGUUGACAAUGAAUUUCCAGUAAUUUUUUAUUUUUAAACUUACUAUUGUUUUUUAAAAUACAUAAAAGAUUUUUAAAAAAAUGUUUUUUGUCUUUUGUCUUUUUAGGGCUGCACCCUCUGCACAUGGAGGUUCCCAGGCUAGGGGUCAAAUCAGAGCUGCAGUUGCCAGCUGAUGCCACAGUCACACCAGAUCUGAGCCAUGUCUGCGACCUACACCACAGCUCAGGGCAACGCCAGAUCCUUCACCCACGGAGCGAGGCCAGGGAUCAAACCCGUGUCCUCAUGGAUACUAGUCAGGUUCAUUAGCCACCGAGGCACGACGGGAACUCCCAUAAAAGAUCUUUUUAUUUGAUCUGUUGCCUACUAAAAAUAUCAGUACUGAUAAUAAUCCAUUAACUACCUUAAUGGCUAGAGGACUACACUCAUGGAAGAGAAAGAACUUUAAAAUUUUUAUUUACAUGCAUUCUUAUUUCAGAUAAGUAUGAUAGGGUGAUAAACAAAAGGCUAUCAAACAUAUGAAAAAUUCAUUAAAAUGAAAUAAAAUUCUGUAGGGUAAGUGGAAUGAAACUGAAGUCAAGAAGGGACAUCAGCGCGAAACAUUUUCAAUAGAACAGCUUGCCUGGGUUUUUAAAUGGGAUCUAGUGUCUCCAUCUGCUUUGGCAUUUAGUUUCCAUUGGAUACAUUUUGAAAGGUGGCAUACAAUAUACCAGGUGUGACACCCUGUAUAAGAAUUUAAAUUAUGGUGAAAAUGUUAGAUACAAACUUAAAAAAUACACGAAGACUAUAGAGUUUUUUAAAACUCUUCUAGGAGUAAAGGAACAAUAUGUUUGAAGAGCACAGAUUUAGGGAAGCGGGGGAGAAAACAAAGGCACGAGGGAAAGGUAGCAGCACUGCUGGAGCACUAAGGGUUCGGCAGGUUAGUUCUCAUGAAUUCAAAAUGAGACAAGCCACUUCUGCAGGAUUUUCUCCAUUCACAUGCAGGCCUGCAAGUGCAGGUGUGGAGGGGGAGGGGCACUGGAUUGAACCAGAGUUGGCGUUUUGCCAGGCAACAAUAAUAAAGCAAAAAAUAGAAGCAAGUGAGUUGACAGUGUCUGCAAGGGAGUGAUUAUAAGGAUGGACCGUGGAGUCUAAACUAAGUUUUGGGGGAAAUGGGACAAUGGAGACUUAAGGGAUCGUUUCAAAAGGUGUGGGAACAGGGGGUUACAGGACUCGUGAGAGCCAAAGAGUAAAUCUAGAGAACUAAAGAGAGCUGGGGGUAGCACUGAGAAAAGAGAUGCUGAAAUUGAGGUUGCAGAGGGACUGCAGAUGUUGGUAAGACCUGGGGUCUGAAGGUGGGGUGGGACAGAUGAGGCUGGUUGGCCGACAAGUUCACUGGAGGAGAAGAGAGCCAGAUCUGAGUGGCCGUCUUGGAAGGUGCAUCUCCACGCUGACUGAGUCUCGAGGCGUAUGACAGACAUAGGGAUUGUUAAAUUAUUUAAACAAUAGGCCAUUUGACUGAGGUGACCCUAACGUCCUGGAGGCUGACACAAGUAAGCACAUCAACAUCUAAGCCAUGAAUUCCUCAAGGUUACAAAAUGAAAACCCAAGGACAAUCAAUCACAAGAGCCAGCAGGACCUUAAGCCACAGUCAAUCAAUAACCUCCUUGCUUUGUAUCUGCCUUUUCUCUACAAAAGUCCUUCCCUGAGCACCUGUCGAGGAAGCUCUCCCUAGUCAUUUCUGGCUUGGCGCUGUCUGAUUAAAAUCAUUUUUUGCUCAAGUAGACUCUUGAAAUUUUUCAUAUGCUUCAGUUUAUAUUUUAACAGUUCAACAAGACCGACAGAUCCAGGCACUUAAGCUGAAGUCCGCGGAGGACAUCAAGAAGCAGGGGUGAGAGAUGUUAUCGUCUGAAGACAUGAUUUUCAAAGCUGGGAGACCGGAGAAGACGAAGGAAAACGGUCUAGAAACCCAAGUCCCAGGGGCAUGAAAACGUAAAAGCUGCCAUUACAGGAGGGCUCCAGAGAGACAGUGUCCUUGAGGAGGAGCCAGUUGGCCACGAAGAGACCAUCAAAGAAGAGCUCCGGAGAGCACAGUGAAAGGGACUCAGACAUGGGAAAGGAAAGGAAGACCGAGUCAGAAAAGGAAAUGAAACCCCAGGAGUAAGGACGCCUAGACAUCCCGAGUAUCC
rnacentral:lncRNA from 1 species